GUGGGGAAUAUUGCACAAUGGGCGGAAGCCUGAUGCAGCAACGCCGCGUGCGGGAUGACGGCCUUCGGGUUGUAAACCGCUUUCAGCAGGGACGAAGCGCAAGUGACGGUACCUGCAGAAGAAGCACCGGCUAACUACGUGCCAGCAGCCGCGGUGAUACGUAGGGUGCGAGCGUUGUCCGGAUUUAUUGGGCGUAAAGAGCUUGUAGGCGGUUGGUUGCGUCGAAAGUGCAAACUCAGGGCUUAACUCUGAGCCUGCUUUCGAUACGGGCUGACUGGAGGAAGGUAGGGGAGAAUGGAAUUCCCGGUGGAGCGGUGGAAUGCGCAGAUAUCGGGAGGAACACCAGUGGCGAAGGCGGUUCUCUGGACCUUUCCUGACGCUGAGAAGCGAAAGCGUGGGGAGCAAACAGGCUUAGAUACCCUGGUAGUCC
rnacentral:rRNA from 1 species